rnacentral:SRP_RNA from 1 species
UUCACGUGGCCUGGGGGUCACGUGACCUCGACCUUUAGGGGGGAAUUAGCGGGAAAAUUUUUCCGCUAAAUUUAGCGGGCAAAAUUUUCCGCUAAAUCUAGCGGGGAAAUUUUCCGCUAAAUUUAGCGGGGAAAAUUUUCCGCUAAAUUUAGCGGGGAAAAUUUUCCGCUAAAUUUAGCGGGGAAAAUUUCCCGCUAGAUUUAGCGGGGAAAAUUUUCCGCUAGAUUUAGCGGGGAAAAUUUUCCGCUAGA